rnacentral:rRNA from 1 species
UACGAAGGGGGCUAGCGUUGUUCGGAAUUACUGGGCGUAAAGCGCGCGCAGGCGGCUAUCCAAGUCAGUGGUGAAAGCCCGGAGCUCAACUCCGGAACUGCCAUUGAUACUGCAGGGCUUGAGUACAGAUGCUGUGGGCGGAAUAUGACAUGUAGUGGUGAAAUACAUAGAGAUGUCAUAGAACACCGAUUGCGAAGGCAGCUCACAAAACUGUAACUGACGCUGAGGCUCGAAAGUGUGGGGAGCGAACAGG